rnacentral:rRNA from 1 species
ACGCUCGACACCUACGGGAAGCAGCAGUGGGGAAUAUUGCACAAUGGAGGAAACUCUGAUGCAGCGACGCCGCGUGGAGGAAGAAGGUCUUCGGAUUGUAAACUCCUGUUGUUGAGGACGAUAAUGACGGUACUCAACAAGGAAGUGACGGCUAACUACGUGCCAACAGCCGCGGUAAUCUGAGCGGGCUGGCAAGGC